AGUUAAAUAUCUUACUGAAGAUUUUAUGUUUUGAAAACAUAACCAAGAAGUUUAAUCCUUCUAUUAACUU
rnacentral:tRNA from 1 species